GUUUUCAUCUACUCAAGUUACUAUCGAAACGAAAUCUCCUGGCAUUUACGAAAUCGUUUUCAAACUUACGAGUUUUAAUCCGCUGCACUAAUUCACCCCCCCCCCUCUUAGUGCCGCUCCGAUCCUAACAGUUUGGGAAUGCAACCCCAAUCGGGCGCUAAAUUCCGUCCAAGGCUAAAUAUGGGCGAGAGACCGAUAGCGAACAAGUACCGCGAGGGAAAGAUGAAAAGGACUUUGAAAAAAGAGUCAAAGAGUGCUUGAAAUUGCCGGGAGGGAAGCGGAUGGGGGCCGGCGAUGCACCUCGGUCGGAUGCAGAAAGGUGGUUAGCCGGUCCGCCACUCGGCUCGGGGUGCGGAUCGAUGCGGGCUGCAUCGACGGCCGAAGCCCGGACGGAUCGUUCAUUUGAGGAGAUACUGUCGAUGUGGUCGAGGACAUGACGCUCGCCAUCGGUGUGCCCUGCGGAGUACACGCGCGACCUAGACAUCGACCAGUGGGCUCCCCGUCCAAUCCGUCUUGAAACACGG
rnacentral:rRNA from 15 species